rnacentral:rRNA from 1 species
GGGUCAGUAGGUUGGUCGUGCCACCGGUACGUACUGGUCUCACUGAUUCCUCCUUCCUGAAGAACCGUAAUGCCAUUAAUUCGGUGUUGCGGGGAAACAGGACUGUUACUUUGAAAAAAUUAGAGUGUUUAAAGCAAGCUAACGCUUGAAUACAUUAGCAUGGAAUAAUGAAAUAGGACGAUCGAUCCUAUUUUGCUGGUUUCUAGGAUUGACGUA